UCCUGGACUCAAGAAAUCCUCUCAUCUCAUCCUCCCAGAAUGCUAGGAUUACAGGCGUGAGCCACCACUCCCGGCUUAAGAGUAUUUAAUUUGGGACUUCCAAUGAAUGAUUCUGGAAUGAUACCACAGCUAGGAAUGCUCUCAGAAAUAACAGAAAGUGGGUAGAGAAACUUCUCUUCACCUUCAGUUCCAACACUGUAAAUCUUCACUACAGAAUUAACUACAGUUAAGAGGUAUAAAGUAUUAUGCAAACUGAUUACAUGAGUGCUGAGAAGAGGCACCAGAAUAAUGGUGGGACCUAAAUCAGAUGGGGUUAAUUUGGCAAUUUCCUGGAAAAGCUCUCAAUACCCUUUAAACAGGCGAAGGAAGUCUAAAGUUUGAUGAGAUUCUAUAAACAGGCAGAAUGUCUACAUGUGUGCACCCAUGACGACAUCUUUCACAAGAGGGCACUGGUACACAGGAUGAUGGCAUGACUAUGAGUGAAUGGACCCCAGAGCAACAGAAAGAAGCAUUGUUUAUACCGUCUCCACUACUCUGACCAAGCCUUCAGUGGAGUUACUGCUAGUAAACACGGUGCCUUCUC